rnacentral:rRNA from 1 species
GUAGUCCACGCCGUAAACGAUGUCGACUAGCCGUUGGGAACCUUAGAGUUUCUUGUGGCGAAGCUAACGCGAUAAGUCGACCGCCUGGGGAGUACGGCCGCAAGGUUAAAACUCAAAUGAAUUGACGGGGGCCCGCACAAGCGGUGGAGCAUGUGGUUUAAUUCGAUGCAACGCGAAGAACCUUACCAGGUCUUGACAUCCAGAGAACUUUCCAGAGAUGGAUUGGUGCCUUCGGGAGCUCUGAGACAGGUGCUGCAUGGCUGUCGUCAGCUCGUGUUGUGAAAUGUUGGGUUAAGUCCCGUAACGAGCGCAACCCUUGUCCUUAGUUGCCAGCGAGUAAUGUCGGGAACUCUAAGGAGACUGCCGGUGACAAACCGGA